rnacentral:rRNA from 1 species
UACAGAGGGUGCAAGCGUUAAUCGGAAUUACUGGGCGUAAAGCGUGCGCAGGCGGCUUCCUAAGUCAGAUGUGAAAUCCCCGGGCUCAACCUGGGAACUGCGUUUGAAACUCCCUUUCUUGAGUACCGGAGAGGAAAGUGGAAUUCCUGGUGUAGAGGUGAAAUUCGUAGAUAUCAGGAGGAACACCAGUGGCGAAGGCGGCUUUCUGGACGGUAACUGACGCUGAGACGCGAAAGCGUGGGGAGCAAACAGG